rnacentral:rRNA from 1 species
UACGGGGGGGGCAAGCGUUGUUCGGAAUUACUGGGCGUAAAGGGCUCGUAGGCGGCCAUCUAAGUCGGACGUGAAAUCCCUCGGCUUAACCGGGGAACUGCGUCCGAUACUGCAGGGCUAGAGUCCGGAAGAGGCGAGUGGAAUUCCUGGUGUAGCGGUGAAAUGCGCAGAUAUCAGGAAGAACACCUAUGGCGAAGGCAGCUCUCUGGGACGGUACUGACGCUGAGACGCGAAAGCGUGGGGAGCGAACAGG